rnacentral:rRNA from 1 species
AUUGAACGAUGGCGGCAGGCCUAACACAUGCAAGUCGAGCGAGCGGCGGGCGGGGGAGUAGUGUAUGGGGAUCUGCCAGGUAGAGGGGGAUAAAUACUGGAAACGGUGGCUAAUACCGCAAACUAUCGGAUGAACCCAUAUGGGAGUAGCCAGUAGGUGGGGUAAAGGCUCAGCUAGGAGACGCUCUCUAGCUGGUCUGAGAGGAUGAUCAGCCACACUGGGACUGAGACACGGCCCAGACUCCUACGGGAGGCAGCAGUGGGGAAUAUUGCACAAUGGGCGCAAGCCUGAUGCAGCCAUGCCGCGUGUAUGAAGAAGGCCUUAGGGUUGUAAAGUACUUUCAGCGGGUAGGCGUUACCCGCAGAAGAAGCACCGGCUAACUCCGUGCCAGCAGCCGCGGUAAUUC